ensembl:lncRNA
ACCACACAUUCAGACCCCACUAUAGAUGAACAUGCACAGACGGACAGAGAGAUCAUGACAGCUGCUGUACAAAGUAACAAAAAGCAACAUAUAUAAUUGUAAUGUUGGCAUAUUUAUUGCACAAUAUUCCCAUACAAACUGGGAAACAGAGAGGAUUUAUGUACAAAUACAUCAAGAAAAUCUAUGCAGUAUAUACAGCUAACAUUUACCAAUGCAUGCCAAGUAAAUAAAUUAAACGCUUUUCUGUAUAAAGAAAUAAUUGGAUAUAAAUACACAUUCUGGAGGCAAAUAGAUUGUUUUUUGUUUUUUUAAAUACAAAAAGUUUCCCACCGAAGAAAUUCCUACAUAUUUUUCUCUUCUUUUUUUGUCGAUUAAGACUUAGAUGUAUGGUUUGACCCAAAGACAAAGUAAGCCAACCAUUCAUAAACAUCUUUGUAAGUCAUUAACUGAUUGACUCAUUCCAUCAGUAAACAAUCUGUCUGCAAGCUAAGAAGACACAUGAAAAAAUGUCAGCAUUUCAAUCCUGAAAAUACAAGAUGAUUGUUGAAUGUCCCUGGAUCAGUGUUAAAAAGGGUCCAGCACAAAUCCCAAUGUAGUGAUUGGUGACCAUCGCGUUUCUCUUAAUCAGAUUAUUCCCUUUUUUAAAAAUCGCAUCACACAGAAUGUUGCGCCUAAAUGACUAUUCAAAUAAAAAUACAUCUCUUAAUCAUUUCCAGAAGGACAGGUAAACAUUUCUGUGACAGCUAAAGAGACGCUGCCCAAAAAAAAAAGAUAAAAACUGAAUCCUCAGAGCUCUUUCAUGAGAAAUCGUGCCAUGGUUUCAUCUUUACUGGGUGACUGAAAACCAAAACUGAAAACUUUACCUCAAAUGUUUAAUUGCGCAUGUUAGAUGUGUGUGUGUGUGUGUGAUACUGAAGGUUUGAGGUAGAGCUCAUUUCAACUGGACACGACAGGGUAAAUUCGCUUGUAAACACAAAGAAAGGAAUAUUACACGAUAACUCGCUGCCACAACCGAUUGAGAACAGUCCAUGAUAUAUUCAUUUAAAAUCAUAAAACUGAUUUUAUAACUCUUUAGUCUUUGCUUUCUACGUUGAUUUGAAGAAGGUGCCAUGAACAGCUUCAGCAUUUGUUCUUGAUGUACGCAAGGGCUGCUUGGAUUUCUUCUUUGGCUUUUACAUUCUUAUGUUGUAUAAAGAAACAAGAAAUAAAACAAAACGCGGUUUAUGGAAUUUAAAAAUGCACUCCAUGUGUCCACUGUUGAAAAGUGAUAUUCCCAGGUCACUUUCAGGGAACCUCUGGGUUUCGACCGUCAUCUUAUGGCAGAGCGUCUGUCCUGCAGUCUGCUCACCCAGAGACCGUUCUACUCAACGGCCUCCCUGCUCCAGGAGUCUCCGGGGCCUCGAGGGGCCCCCCGUCCGGCCGGACCGAACCUGGAGGGAAUGGAGUCUCUGUCGCUCUCCAUGUGGUCUACAGGAGAAUCUGGGCCACGUACGGCGAGUGUGUGCUCGCUAUGGCCGCUAGCAGGGGCAGAUCGUUAGACUCGAUCC